rnacentral:rRNA from 1 species
UACAGGGGGGGCAAGCGUUGUUCGGAAUUACUGGGCGUAAAGGGUCUGUAGGUGGCCAACUAAGUCAGACGUGAAAUCCCUCAGCUUAACUAGGGAACUGCGUCUGAUACUGGAUGGCUUGAGUGUGGGAGAGGAAUGCGGAAUUCCAGGUGUAGCGGUGAAAUGCGUAGAUAUCUGGAGGAACACCGGUGGCGAAGGCGGCAUUCUGGACCAUAACUGACACUGAGAGACGAAAGCCAGGGGAGCAA